UACGUAGGGUGCGAGCGUUGUCCGGAAUUAUUGGGCGUAAAGAGCUCGUAGGCGGUUUGUCACGUCUGCUGUGAAAUCCCGAGGCUCAACCUCGGGCCUGCAGUGGGUACGGGCAGACUGGAGUGCGGUAGGGGAGAAUGGAAUUCCUGGUGUAGCGGUGAAAUGCGCAGAUAUCAGGAGGAACACCGGUGGCGAAGGCGGGUCUCUGGGCCGAUACUGACGCUGAGGAGCGAAAGCGUGGGGAGCGAACGGG
rnacentral:rRNA from 1 species